rnacentral:rRNA from 1 species
CAGUCGCCACGGUAAUACGAAGGGUGCAAGCGUUAAUCGGAAUUACCGGGCGUAAAGCGUGCGUAGGCGGUUUGUUAAGUCUGCUGUGAAAUCCCCGGGCUCAACCUGGGAAUGGCAGUGGAUACUGGCUCGCUAGAGUGUGUCAGAGGAUGGUGGAAUUCCCGGUGUAGCGGUGAAAUGCGUAGAGAUCGGGAGGAACAUCAGUGGCGAAGGCGGCCAUCUGGGACAACACUGACGCUCAUGCACGAAAGCGUGGGGAGCAAACAGGAUUAGAUACCCCUGUAGUCCCUGUCUCUUAUAC